CCUGGUGACCAUAUCGGCGGGGAAACGCCUGAUCCCAUUCCGAACUCAGAAGCUAAGCCCGCUGGAGCCGAUGGUAGUCGCUUUGCGGCGAGAGUAGGUAAUCGCCAGGA
rnacentral:rRNA from 2 species